CCUACGGGAGGCAGCAGUAGGGAAUAUUGGGCAAUGGGCGAAAGCCUGACCCAGCCACGCCGCGUGCAGGAAGACGGCCCUCUGGGUUGUAAACUGCUUUUGACUGGGAAGAAGAAGCUCAUGCGUGAGAAGUUGACGGUACCAGUCGAAUAAGCCACGGCUAACUACGUGCCAGCAGCCGCGGUAAUACGUAGGUGGCAAGCGUUAUCCGGAUUUAUGGGUUUAAAGGGAGCGUAGGCGGCUUAAUAAGUCAGUGGUUAAAGGUAGCAGCUUAACUGUUUUACAUGCCACUGAUACUGUUGAGCUUGAGUUGACAGAAGGCAGAUAGAAUUUCUGGUGUAGCGGUGAAAUGCUUAGAUACCAGAAGGAAUACCGAUUGCGAAGGCAGUCUGCUGCAGUCACACUGACGCUGAGGCUCGAAGGUGCGGGGAUCAAACAGGAUUAGAUACCCUGGUAGUCCGCACAGUAAACGAUGAUUACUGAUGUGUACGACGACAGUGUCGACGGAACGAGAAGUAAUAC
rnacentral:rRNA from 1 species